rnacentral:lncRNA from 1 species
UAAUUGAAACAAUUCAUUAUCAAAUUUACUGAUCUGCUUAAUGAUUUUGUAUUUCUCUUUCAAAAUCACCUUCCUCCUAAGCUAGCCUAGGUAAAUUACCCUUUCCUUCCAAUCAGAGAGAUUGAAGGGACCUGGGAGAACAUCCAGUUCAAGACCCCUCACUUUAAAGAUGGUGUAACAGUGGUUUGUGUGUCCGUGGUGAGGGUGGAGACUUUUAUCGAGGUCACAGAGGAGGCCACAGAGCAAGUCCAGCAAGACUUGAACACAGGCUGCCAGUAUUCCACCCUUGUCUCAUUCUGAGAUUGUGUGCUGAGGGUUUUCAACUGCAUCUUUAAAGGGGAGGCCACCAAAGAAGGAGCAAUAGGAAAGGAUGGUAAAAACGGGGUAGAAAGGAAGAAGGAAGGAGAAGAAGAAAGGGAAAAUAGCAAGCUCUCUUUCCAGAGCCACACAUUUUUUAUGUUUGCUCAGUGGCAGUCUGUUAAAGAAAUACUUCAUUGUCACUGAGCACAGAGUCAUUAAAGGCACCUUGGAAAUUUGGACCCUUUUACUAGAAUCAGGGCUUAAAUAGCAACUUAAUUUAUGACACUUCUCGAGGCUGAUGGCAUUUUUGCUCUAAGGAUUGCAUUACUGAACAACCGGAGCCAAAGCUAGAAAUUGGAGAGAGCAAAGCGCCUGAAAUCCACUUGGAAAAUGGCAACCACCAUAAACUCUGAAGAUUGAAGCUUAUCAUCAUGACUAACUCAAAGGGUCAGAGGAGACACUGGCUUCCCCCAGCAAGCUCAACGUCUUUUGGCACAACUCAGGCAGGGAUGUAGCCUAGAUUUUGACACCACUUAACAAAGAAAAGCCAAUGUCUUUCAGUCCCUUCUGUGCCUUUCAGUAUACCUUGGCCUUGUGGAAUACGAUCUUACAGGUCUGUUUUAAUGGAGGGUCCCAUGGUUGGGGGCAUACUGGUGCUC